rnacentral:lncRNA from 1 species
UCCUGACCUCAAGUGAUCUGCCUGCCUUGGCCUCCUAAAGUAUUUUAUUAUCUUUUUUUUAAAAAAGAGAUGGAGGUUUUACUAAGUUGCCCAGGCUGGUCUUGAAUUCCUGGACUCAAACAAUCCUCCUGCUUUGGCCUCCCAAAGUGCUGGGAUUACGGUCAUGGAUGUGAUUACCACCACACCCGGCCUGAACACACCGUUUAAUCUCUGUGAAUGCUCUUUUCCUCCUAGGUAAAACAGCAUAAUAAGAGUUCCUGACUCAUAGGUUGCAACAAAAACUGAAGAAAAUGCUAAAAAGUGCACAGCAUGGCCGGGCACAGUGGCUCGCGCCUGUAAUCUCAGCACUUUGGGAGGGCGAGGUGGGCGGAUCACGAG